UACGUAGGGUGCAAACGUUAUCCGGAUUUAUUGGGCGUAAAGAGCUCGUAGGCGGAAUUGUAAGUUGGAUAUUAAAUACCCAGGCUCAACUUGGGGACAGUAUCCAAGACUGCUUUUCUAGAGUGAUGCAGGGGAGAACGGAACUUACGGUGUAGCGGUAAUAUGCGUAGAUAUCGUAAGGAACGCCAAUGGUGAAGACAGUUCUCUGGGCAUUUUCUGACGCUGAGGAGCGAAAGCGUGGGUAGCGAUCGGG
rnacentral:rRNA from 1 species